CAUUGAUUUACAUAUAAAUUUUGACGCCAUUUUUUCCCCAUGGUCACAUGCUCUUACUGAAUUUUCAUUGGUUAAAAAUGAAUGGAGAGAUAUUUAAUACACACACAAAGCAAAACAGCGUAAGUAAGGCAUUGUUCAUUCUAGUCUCUGUCAUGUGACACUGUCAACCACAAGUUUUCUGUGCUCAGCUGUUUGAGGUUCAUACAUUUUAGAAAGUCAUUUCUUUGUUAGUUCUGAAAAGCCAUGGAUUCAGGCUUUCAUCAGACAGCAGUCAGAUGAAAAAACACUAGAUUAUUCAAGUUGUGAUAGAAUUAAAGUGUUUUAGAGGUGUUCAAGGCAGAUGAACAUGGUGACGUUUUAAUGUGCAAAUACAUGCUUGUGUCACAUGCGUUUGUCACAUGUAUCCGGUACUACAUUUGAAAAAUGUCUACUCAAUAUUUGGUCAGCCUCAUUCAGGGAAGCAUCAAUGAAUUGACGUUCCACCCUGGCUGGAUCACGGAAGAAAAACAGAAGCAGGCACAACUAUGAGGCUUUACGUUAAGAGUUCGAUGUACGUUACCAAGACCGCGGAGGCUGCUCUCUGUUGUGACACGAGAUUAGAGCUGUCUGGCUUGGUCAGGCCGGAGCGCAAGCGCUCUCGCGAGGCUGUCGCAGGCGAACAGCGAGGACACAUGUUUUGAUACAGGCUUGUGUCAAGAUCGAGGAUAUUUGCCGACAACGCCUGAAGAAGAGGAAGGCACGCGGAUGAACAGAUGAUCGCACCGACGUGCAUACCGAUGGACAGAGAUGAAUAUAUGAUGGGACGGAUGGAAUGACGUCCACACACAUGAAGACAGUGGUGAAUGAACUGAUGGGACGGACGAAAUGUCGCCCAUGCAGAUGGAGAGAUUGUCAAAUGGACUGGUGGGACGGAUGGAAUGACGUACACACAGAUGGAGAGAGUGGCGAACAGAAUGACGUACACACAG